GGAGUUAGCCGGUGCUUCUUCUGCGAGUAACGUCACAGAUGUAAGGUAUUAACUUACACCCUUUCCUCCUCGCUGAAAGUGCUUUACAACCCGAAGGCCUUCUUCACACACGCGGCAUGGCUGCAUCAGGGUUUCCCCCAUUGUGCAAUAUUCCCCACUGCUGCCUCCCGUAGGAGUCUGGGCCGUGUCUCAGUCCCAGUGUGGCUGAUCAUCCUCUCAGACCAGCUAGGGAUCGUCGCCUAGGUGAGCCUUUACCUCACCUACUAGCUAAUCCCACCUGGGCUUAUCCAUCAGCGCAAGGCCCGAAGGUCCCCUGCUUUCCCCCGUAGGGCGUAUGCGGUAUUAGCAGUCGUUUCCAACUGUUAUCCCCCACAAAUGGGCAAAUUCCCAGGCAUUACUCACCCGUCCGCCGCUCGUCAUCUUCAAAAGCAAGCUUUUGAAAUGUUACCGCUCGACUUGCAUGUGUUAGGCCUGCCGCCACGCGUCAUCUGAGCAGAAUACAACUACUGA
rnacentral:rRNA from 1 species